rnacentral:lncRNA from 1 species
UGGGUCAUCCUAAGCAUUUUGGGUCAAAAAGAUGAAUUAUACAGUAACCAUAGUCCAUUAGGUUCUGAGUGUUGCUUUGCAUAUAUUUGGCCUAUCCGAACGUCAGAUCUCAUUGCUAGAUGGUUACUUCAAUUGGUAUCAAAAUUAUUCCUAUGCUACCGACUUAGAUUCGAACUUAUGAGGUCACACACAUUAGAAGCUCCUCUCUGAUCAGAUGGC